ACGGAAGGCAGCAGUUGGGAAUAUUGCACAAUGGGCGCAAGCCUGAUGCAGCGAUGCCGCGUGAGGGAAGAAGGUUUUCGGAUUGUAAACCUCUGUAAUCGGGGACGAUAAUGACUGUCCCCGAGAAGGAAGCUCCGGCUAACUACGUGCCAACAGCCGCCGUAAUACGAAGGGCGCGAGCGUUAUCCGGAAUUACUGGGUGUAAAGGGAGUGUAGGCGGGACUGUAAGUCAGAUGUGAAAUAUGCCGGCUCAACUGGCAGACUGCAUUGGAAACUGCGGUUCUUGAGUGAAGUAGAGGUAGGCGGAAUUCCUGGUGUAGCGGUGAAAUGCGUAGAUAUUAGGAGGAACAUCAGUGGCGAAGGCGGCUUACUGGGCUUUAACUGACGCUGAGGCUCGAAAGCGUGGGGAGCAAACAGGAUUAGAUACCCUGGUA
rnacentral:rRNA from 1 species